rnacentral:rRNA from 1 species
AGUUUUGAGCUAAAUAUAUUAUAAUAUUAGUUAUUUAUGGAAGGUAUUGUAAAAUCUUAUUAAAAAUUAUAUUUAGGGGUGAUAGGCCUUUCAAAAACUAAGAUAUCUUGAAUCUAAUUAAAAGUAUGUAGUACAUUUAACACAACUAUUAAGUGACUAGGCUUUAUAGAACUAUUAACUUAUAGAUAUUUUAUUUACUAUAAUUUAAUAAUUAAGUAUAUAAGUAUAUUAAUAUUCAUUUAUUAUAAUUUAUAAGGAGUAAUUAGAUAAAUUAAAGUUUAUAAAUUUUGUAAUAAUGUUAAUAUUAGUAUUAAGUUUAUAUUUAUAUGAUGAACUCGGCAAAAAUGCUUCUCAACUGUUUAUCAAAAACAUAACUAUGUGAAUAAAUACAUAGCGGUUUCUGCUCAAUGAUUAAUUAAAUAGCCGCAGUAUACUGACUGUGCAAAGGUAGCAUAAUCAAUUGACUUAUAAUUGAAGUCUGGAAUGAAUGAAAAUAAUGGGAAGCCACUAUAUUUUUUAAAUAUAUAUAAUUUAUUUAUGAAGUGAAAAUACUUCUAUAAAUAUAAUAGACGAGAAGACCCUAGAAAUUUUUAGUAAUUAAAAUUAUAUUUGAAAAAUUUUUUGUUGGGGCGACAGAGUAGCAUAUUAACCUACUUAAAAUAAACUUGCACCUUUUUUAUUGUUUGAAAAAUUUACUCUAGGGAUAACAGCAUAAUAUUUAAAAGUUUAUGACCUCGAUGUUGGACUAGGAAAUAAUAACUUAAAAGGUUUUUUAUAUUGCUCUGUUCGAGCAUUAACUCCUACAUGAUC